AUAACCGAAGGAACAUCAACUACGAAAUGAAGUUAAAAGCCAAGGUUUUUAAAUAAAAUAUAAAGUUUUAAAUCUCUACCUUUAUAAAUAGAUAACUGAUUGUUGUAUUCAGUGUGUGGUAAUCAUGAACAAGACACACAUUACAUUAUUUUUUAUUUUGCUUAUUCUCCUUCCUUCUGAGAUGAUGGCACAAACAUUAAAAAGUCCAUGCAGCGAUGAAGAAUGCAAAUUGUAUUGUCUUUCUAAAGGUUGUAGAGAUGGUUACUGCUUAUCUGCUAACAAGUGCUUUUGCGUGCUUCCAUUACCGUUUUAAUUGCGCUUACAACCUCAUUUGCAUUAUCUCUAGAUUUUUCCGUUUUUGUUUCUUAGAUUGUGUUAUGGGUGUAUAUGUGAUAGACCCAUUAGAACAUUGAAGAAACCCAGCUGGCAGCAAGAUUAUAUUAUGAAUUAAAAAUAUUUUAUUUUGGUUUAAAUACUUUGUUUUUCCUUCAAGUGAGCUUGGCUCAGAGUUGUUUUGUAGUCAGCCUAUUUAACCCUUGUAUUUAUAGCAAGGAGAAGUGAAUUAUAAUAUUAUGCAGAAAUUAAAUAUGUCUUUACUUUCCUUUC